GUACUCUGGUUUCCCUUCAAAUCACGCAUAAAUCUUUCGCCUUUUACUAAAGAUUUCCGUGGAGGGGAACAAUUGAUGAGUCUAAGAUCUCAAUUUUUGGUAGUACCUGACGAAAGUCAGGUC
rnacentral:snRNA from 1 species